UCCGCCGAGUCUCUGCCGGACGGAGCCCCGCGAGGAGGAAGCUGCGAGGCUGGGGGAGCAGAGCGCCGAGCCGAGACCCUCGACCUGGGGCUCCGGGGCCUCCGGGGCGCUCGUCUCCUCGGCUCCGUGUUGGGGGUGAAGCCGGUACACAGGCCCCUGGCUGCCGUCCACCGUGUCGCUGCAGUGCGGGGACGGUGCCGAGCGAGUGGCUGCAUGCCGUGGACUGUCCGGCCCCGGACCGGGGCAGAAGCGAGGCUCGGCGCACACAGGUGCCGCAGGCCGGGAGUGCUGAGCCCCGACUGCAGCCCAGUCCUCGCACGGGUCGCCUCGCAAGGCCGGCAGCAGGCCGCCCGGCGCCAGGCUGGACGAGGCUGGCCCCUGCGCGGUCUUUGUUCCCAGUGCAGCGGCACCCUGGAUGUGGAGCAGAGGAGCGGCCGGCGCAGAGUUCGGCCCGGCUGCUGCAGGCAGGGCGGCGGCGGAGCCGUCUGAGGCUGCUGGUUCAGGUGUGGACAGGAGAAAUGAAGGGAGGUGUGACGGGGCUCGGGAAGCCGGGAGGGGAGGUGAUUGGAGGGCGACACACUUGGAAAGGACGGGCAAGUCUGGAAGGCUGGUAACUGGACUUCAACACUUGCGUUUGAGGCUCUUCACCAACCUGAGGCCCACGGAGUUUUUUUUUUAGAUUUAUUUAUUUUUUUGAAAAUCAGAGUGACACAGAGAUAGAGAGAGAGAGGUCUUCCAUCUGCAGAUCUCCCACGUGGGUGCAGGGGCCCAAGCACUUGGGUCACCCUCUGCUGCUCUCCCAGGCCAGAGAGCUGGAUCAGAACUGAAACAGCCGGGACUUGAACCGGCGCCCAUAUGCGGUGCCGGCACUGCAGGCGGCGGCUUUACCUGUUAUGCCACAGCACCGGCUCCUCUUUCUUUCUUAAGAUUUAUUUUGUUUGUUUGAAAGAGACACGCACACAGACGGAGAGAGAGAAUGUCCGUCUGUGGUUCCCUCUCCGAGUGGCCGCAAGCCGGAAGCCAGGAGCUUCGUCAGGGUCUCCCACGUGGGUAGCUGGGGCUGAAGGACUUGGGCCGUCCUCUGCUGCUUUUCCCAGGCCAUAGCAGGAAGCUGGAUCGGGAGAGUGAAGAGGCUGACAAGGUCGCCGCAGGAGGUCUGUCUCCACAGGGCGCAGGCGUGGUUGUAGAUUUCCUGGGGAUCCCUGUAUUCUUGGAAAUCUGUGAGAAACGACCUCUGCUCAAGAUGACCUCACUGACGGUCGAGCUGUGGGAUGGACUCGGUCCUCCUAGAGUGAUUCAACCCCUCUGAUGCUUGUUAUCUGCAACAAAGGCCUGGAGGGAAGUGCAGACGUAGGGUAUAUGGUCUGCAGUCAGACCUGAUGCAGGGACGAGAGGGUCCUGGGGAAGCUCUCAGGUCCUGCUGUAACCCACUUGAGGGUGUCUUAUCAUAGACUGACGACUUGUAAAUGAGAGGUAGCAACUCCAGUGGCUGAGAGAAGUACAAACAGUGGUAAAUACCUUAGUCUGUGUGGCCUGGUGGAAAGAACAUAAAGCAAUUAUGGAAAUCAGUGAGCGAGUCUUAAAUGAGCUACUAAAACUAAAUCGUGGUGAAGCGUUGUGGAAAGGACGUGCGUAAUGCAUGGGUUUGUUUGAGCAGGGGGUUGGUUACCAGUAGACUUAAACUCAGAGGUAAAUGUUCCAGUGUUAUAAGUAGAUGUUCGGAUUCUCUGCAAAAUAACCACUAUGUUUUGUAAUUGAUUAUUAUGUAAUUUAGCAUCACUUGAGUCUGUUCUAUUGUAUCUCAAAUAUCAAGUAAAUCUUUAAAAUCAAAAUGUUACAUGGCCAUGGAUUAGGGAGGGGUUGCUUGUAAUUCAAGGUCAGUGGUUUAAAGUGAUGGGAAACAGACUUUGUUAUUGUAAGGAAGAAUCAUUAACUCUGUAAGGAUCACUAAUGAGUGGACAUUUGCAGAAUUUAUGAGAACAGUAAAGAAUGUGUAAAGUGAACAGCGAAUGUAACUCAGGGUGUAAGAUAAAGUCAUCAGAGCUGGCCGGCGCCGCGGCUCACUAGGCUAAUCCUCUGCCUUGUGGCGCCGGCACACCGGGUUCUAGUACCGGUCGGGGCGCCGGAUUCUGUCCCGGUUGCCCCUCUUCCAGGCCAGCUCUCUGCUGUGGCCCAGGGAGUGCAGUGGAGGAUGGCCCAAGUGCUUGGGCCCUGCACCCACAUGGGAGACCAGGAUAAGCACCUGGUUCCUGCCAUCGGAUCAGCGCGGUGUGCCAGCCGCAGCACGCCAGCCGCGGCGGCCAUUGGAGGGUGAACCAACGGCAAAAGGAAGACCUUUCUCUCUGUCUCUCUCUCUCACUGUCCACUCUGCCUGUCAAAAAUAAAUAAAUAAAUAAAGUCAUCAGAGCCAUGCCAUCAGCCUUGCUGUCAGCCCUGGACCUGCUGGAGCUGGCCUGCGGCAGAAGUGGAGCAGCCGGGACACAACUGCUGCCCAUGUGGGAUGCCAGUGUUGCAGGGGACAGCUUUACCCACUAUGUCACAAAGCAGCCCCUGAAUCAGGAUCCCAGAACUCCAUCUGGGUUUGCCACGUUGGGUGGCAGGAGCCCAAGCACUCCGGCCAUCUUUUAUUGCUUGCCCGGGUAUGCAUUAGCAGGGGGCUGGAUUGGAAGCAGAGCAGCUGGGACUCGAACUGGUGCUCCAGUAUGGGAUGCUGGCGUUACAGGUGGCGGCUUAGCCUGCUGUGCCACCAGCCCCAGUGUGCCUGUUUGUUGAGGUGACUGAUGCCUAACUCACCCCCCCUUUUUAUUUAAGAUUUUAUUUAUUUAUUUGACAGAGUUAUAGACAGUGAGAGGGAGAAACAGAGAAAGGUCUUCCCUCCGUUGGUUCACUCCCCAAGUGGCCGCUACAGCUGGAGCUGCGCCAAUCUGAAGCCAGCAGCCAGGUGCCUCUUUCUGGUCUCCCGUGUGUGUACAGGGGCCCAAGGACCUGGGCCAUCCUCCACCGCUUUCCCAGGCCACAGCAGAGAGCUGGACCAGAAGAGGAGCAGCCGGGACUUGAACUGGUGCCCAUAUGGGAUGCCGGUGCCUCAGGCGGAGGAUUAACCUACUGCACCACAGCACCAGCCCCAUGACUCACCCUUUCUCCAGGCUGCUUGGCACCUGCCCCUUCAGAGCCUGGAGCUGCCCCCUCCCCUCCCAUUGUGAACAGUCCUUCAAACUUCCAGUCAUUCUUCCAUUCGGGCAUCCCAGAGAGACAUGAAUUAGGAAUAACUGAUGGGUACUGAAGACAGCCCAGGGGAAGUGUAGGGACACAGGAUUCCAGGCAGAGUUGUCCCUCGAGGCCAAAUGCAAGGGUGUGAAUGAGCCUGCUUCCUUUGGGGAAUGCAGAGUGUGGUCAGAUCAGCUGGGCUAGAGUGUAAGCGUGCCUGCUCGUGGAGGUAGCGUGCACGACUAUGUGUGUGCCUGCUCGUGGAGGUAGCGUGCACGACUAUGUGUGUGCCUGCUCGUGGAGGUAGCAUGCACGACUGUGUGUGUGCCUGCUCGUGGAGGUAGCGUGCACGACUAUGUGUGUGCCUGCUCGUGGAGGUAGCGUGCACGACUGUGUGUGUGCCUGCUCUUGGAGGUAGCGUGCACGACUAUGUGUGUGCCUGCUCGUGGAGGUAGCGUGCACGACUAUGUGUGUGCCUGCUCGUGGAGGUAGCGUGCACGACUAUGUGUGUGCCUGCUCGUGGAGGUAGCGUGCACGACUGUGUGCGUGCCUGCUCGUGGAGGUAGCGUGCACGACUGUGUGCGUGCCUGCUCGUGGAGGUAGCGUGCACGACUGUGUGCGUGCCUGCUCGUGGUCGGCCAUCUGAGACAUGGUGUGGAGCCCAGGCUAUGACGAUGUCAGCCUGGUCUCUCCAUGUCCUUGAGCAUCUGAGGCCGACUGUCAGUGAAGGUUUCCAUUAUGUCCCAGGCACACAGCUGUCGCUCCCCCUCUUCGUGGAGGAACGACACAGGACCCUGCGCUGUUCUUUCGUCUGCUCGGCCCUCCCCGGGUUUGCUGCUGGUUCUUCCCGGGUUGGCUGCUAUCCCUUCCACCUCCGUGGAAGGGCAGUUCCCCCUGGCCACAUUCCCCACUUCCGCAGGGGAGCGGCACACCGCCGGCCGGCUUUCUCGGGGGCUGCACGGGUUCCCUUAGAUGUUCCCCAUAGAUGUUCCUCGUGCAUGCCGUCUCUCUCCUCCUUUAUAGUCCUCCUCCGCCAAUCCCAACUCGGCUGCCCACACGCCGAGUACGCUGCUCUCCAAUCAGGAGCAAGUCCUACAGUUUAUUAGCUGAACUGGAGGCAGCUGUGCGGAAGCUGUUUACUUCUCUCCCAGCGCCAUAUUGUGGGAGAGCAGAUGCAUAGAAUAAGUCUUAAUUUCAGUAACUUAGUCCAGUCCGGAUUGCUCCCCACAGAUCCCCCUUUCUUUUUAUUUUUGGCGUUGAUACGCGCCUGUCUUCGGUGUCCCGCAGCACACACUCUGCUCUACUUGCUAGAGUUGCCACAGGCUCUUACAAGUCCUAUCAAUCAGGAAAACCGAAUCCGGGUCCUCUCUUCGCCAUGUUGUGAGGAGGUUUUUAGGCGCUGAUGCGUGCCUGUGUUCGGUGCCCUGCAGCGCAUACUCUGCUCUGCUAGAACUGCCUGCAGGUGUUUACAAAACCUAUCAGGCAAACCGAAUCCAAGCCUUCUCAUUGCCGUAUUGUGGGGGAGACUUAUUAGUGUUGGUUCGUGCCUAUCUUCGGUGACCUGCAGCUCAUACUCUGGUCGAGCUUUGCUGGCGCUUACCGCCUUAAAUCAGGCAGACCGAAUCCAAGCUUAAUAUUGUUGUAUUGUGGGGAAGCCUUACUGAUGUUAAUUCGUGCCUGUCUUCGGUGACCUGCGGCGCAUAAGCUGCUAGCUGCCCGCAGGUGCUCAUCGCCUCACUUGAUUAGGCAGACCGAAUCCAAGCCUUCUAAUUGGCAUGUUGAGGGGAGGCCUUAUUUUUCUCUAUUUCUCUAUCUCCGGGCAUUCCUACCUCUCCCAUUUCACUUCUAUCUUCCAGCAUUCCCAUUUCUCUUUUA